GGCUUGAUUCCUUCUGCGUUCUGCCCCUCCAGCGCCUCCUCCUCUGUUCCUCUAUCCCUAACCCUAACCCAGGCGACGGCGCCGUUGCCCGCGGCUCUCCCUUCACCGAUGGCGCCAUCUCGUCCGAGUCCGAGCUGGAGGAGCACAUGUACGUCAGGGAGGCAGCAAGGCCAGCACGCCGUCGGUCCGUCCUUCCCUAGUUCCUCACCGAGCGCCACGAAGAGGAAAAGAUAAUGGUGAAGGAGAAGGGGAAUGAGAAGGGAAAGGGUGAUGGUAAGGAGAAUGCGAAGGCGAAGACAAAGGAGAAGAGCGUGAAUUACUUAAUUAGGCAAGAUUCGGCGCUGCCUCCAGCUCCGCAACCUGCUCCGAGCUGCCUCAUGCAUCUACUAUUGUGGUAGAUGACGAGGAGAAGGAGGACGACGAGGACGAGGACGUGGACAUAGAUGAGGACAAGGACAAGGAUGAUGAGGAAUAUGAGGAGCAAAAUCUGUUUAUUGUCCCGCCACAAGCGAGUGCUGAUAUGUCGGAUAACACCUUAUGUUUGUGGAUGUGAUAUUUGUGCUUAACCUGAUUUGUGCCAUCUUUCAUCUCAAAAUCAGUUUGUGGAUGUCCAAAAAACAAAGGAAAUGUUGUCCAAAUGUAGUUAUUCUUGCUGUCCAAAUUUAGUUAUUCUUGCUGUCCAAAUUUAGUCCAGUGCUUUCUGUCCAAUUAGUUAUUUGUGGCUGUCAUAUUCAUGCUGUUUUGGUCCAAAAUUUGUGGCUGUUUGUGGCUGUGAUCAAUG